rnacentral:rRNA from 1 species
GAUGAACGCUGGCGGCGUGCUUAACACAUGCAAGUCGAACGGAAAGGCCCUGCUUUUGUGGGGUGCUCGAGUGGCGAACGGGUGAGUAACACGUGAGUAACCUGCCCUUGACUUUGGGAUAACUUUAGGAAACUGGGGCUAAUACCGGAUAGGAGCUUCUGCUGCAUGGUGGUGGUUGGAAAGUUUCGGCGGUUGGGGAUGGACUCGCGGCUUAUCAGCUUGUUGGUGGGGUAGUGGCUUACCAAGGCUUUGACGGGUAGCCGGCCUGAGAGGGUGUCCGGCCACAUUGGGACUGAGAUACGGCCCAGACUCCUACGGGAGGCAGCAGUGGGGAAUAUUGCACAAUGGGCGGAAGCCUGAUGCAGCAACGCCGCGUGCGGGAUGACGGCCUUCGGGUUGUAAACCGCUUUCGCCUGUGACGAAGCGUGAGUGACGGUAAUGGGUAAAGAAGCACCGGCUAACUACGUG